UGCCAGUGAAGAGCUUAAUUUCUGACACCUCGAAUGAGCGUUGCUUUGCCAACAUUUGAUUUAAAUUAUCUAUCUGAGGCAU
ensembl:snoRNA